rnacentral:rRNA from 1 species
GGGUUUAAUCCAAAUCCUUUGGGAUAAGGUAUCAUAGAGGGUGAGAAUCCCGUUUAUGAUUGAAUCUCGUGUGUCGCUUAAUUCACUUUCCAAGAGUCGAGUUGUUUGGGAUUGCAGCUCAAAACGGGUGGUAAAUUUCACCUAAGGCUAAAUAUGUGCAAGAGACCGAUAGCGAACAAGUACCGUGAGGGAAAGAUGAAAAGAACUUUGAAAAGAGAGUUAAAUAGUACGUGAAAUUGUUGAAAGGGAAACGAUUGAAGUCAGUCAUGCUAGUGAGGAAUCAACCUGAUAGUGUGUGGGUUCUCCCUCGUACUUUCAGGUGCACUUUCUCACCCGGCAGGUUAGCAUCAAUUUCGGUUAUCAUAAAAAAUUUGAGGGAAUGUGGCUUUUCUUCGGAAAAGUGUUAUAGAUCUUGAUCUAUGUGGUGACCGGGAUUGAGGAUUGCAGCGGAUACCCUCGUGGCUCGUCACCUGGCUUCUGACGGUUACCCCGCCUUCGAUAGCUCGCUAACAUCGGUGGGACUCGAUUGUCUAGAUGUCAGAGUGAUUGAUUUUCGCUAAGGAUGCUGACGUAAUGGCUUUAAACGACCCGUCUUGAAACACGGACCAAGGAGUCUAACAUGUGUGCGAGUGUUUGGGUGUCGAAACCCGGAACGCGUAAUGAAAGUAAUCUUGGUGGGAACCCUUCGGGGUGCACCAUCGACC